rnacentral:sRNA from 1 species
UGGGCGCCGGUCGGGUGGGCGGAUGGGGCGGUGCCCGCUCGGAGCUGCCGCCGCGGGGUACUCACGUCCCACCUGCGGAAGGUGGGGCUAGCUCUGGAGGAGUUCCUUGGUGGCCUUGAGGACCUCAGACUUAACCCGGCCGCUGGAGCCAUCCCGGCGGACUGGAAGUGCACGGGCUAGGAGAGCAAGAAGGACGUGACAGGCGGGCGAACCUGACGUAAUUAGUGAACGAGGGCUAAAGAAAAAGAAGUCAGUAGGUGGAGAUGGGGCACACCUUUAGUCCCAGAACUCGGGAGGCAGAAAGAUCUCUAUUUAUUAUUAUUUUGUCAACAUGUAUGUCUGCACUACGAAAGAGGACACUGGAUCCCAUGAAGCUGCAGUAAUAGACAGUGGUGUCCCUCCCUGAUGAUUGCAUGCCAAGAUGAUCUGGUCUUCCCAUCCGUUGUUGUUUUCAGGUGCACUAUGUCUUUGGACCAUCUCCAUGAGUAAGGAAUGAGGACGCUGGGAAUAUAGUGAAGACCAAGAGACUUCCCGACCAGGAAACACCCAGGCAGAGGACCCAUAUUGUGUAAAGCAGAGCACCUGCAUCCUGUACCUUCUGUACCUGUGCUUACUGAUUCACGGACAGCAUGUGGCUUCAUUCUGAGUUCAGGUACAGAGACAGGAUGACUCUUCUUGUUAUGCGCGUAGACAUCACCACCUUUCUAGCACCAUCUAUGAGGUAAGCCCUGAUAAAUAGUUUAUUCCUAUACUACCUUAUAAACCUAUCAGAAUAGAUCAGGCCAGGUGAGGACUUGGGUAUAUAUUAAAACCCCCUU